UAAUUGAAGAGUUUGAUCAUGGCUCAGAUUGAACGCUGGCGGCAGGCCUAACACAUGCAAGUCGGGCGGUAACAGGGAGAAGCUUGCUUCUCCGCUGACGAGCGGCGGACGGGUGAGUAAUGUAUGGGGAUCUGCCUGAUGGCGGGGGAUAACUACUGGAAACGGUAGCUAAUACCGCAUAAUGUCUACGGACCAAAGCGGGGGACCUUCGGGCCUCGCGCCAUCAGAUGAACCCAUAUGGGAUUAGCU
rnacentral:rRNA from 1 species